GCUUCUCCCUGAGAUGUACUUAAUUCACCGCCAUAGUCAUUUCUCAGCCAUCAGAGAUCCCGCUGUUUUUUCAUGGUCCAGAAAUAGUCAUCUCUGAUUUGGCCUACUCCAUGUUGCCACCUGGAUAUCCCAGGAUGCCUCAUCCCUGUUAAACUUCUUUUUCCUGUCGGCAAAGUACAGUGACAGAAUAAGGAUUCAUUACUCUUGAAAUGACCCUUUCCACAAUAUCCUCUUUUUAUCUCCUUAAUCAGCAAAGUGGUGCUCUGAGAACUGGCAGGUUCACUGCCUGGAGGCACAUUUAUUACCGAGACACAAGCUGAAUAAUUGUGUAUUUACCAACUUCAAUUUAACCUCACAACUUGGCUGUCUCUUGCGACAAGGUGAGAAGUAAGGCCAAGGUGCUCCUCUCCUGUAGCUCAUCAAUAACUAUUCUCUUUCAACCAUAACUAUUUUCAUUGUCACCUUUGUAUGCCUGAGUUGUUCUGCUUUAGCACAUCCUUUUAUCUUCAGCAGAAAAGGAAUUUGUUGCCUUGGUCAAAGCUUCAGUUAAGACUUCCUUAAUUAAAAAGUAGGGUUAAGGAAGGUACCCUACCUUUUUUUCCUCCCAGGAAAAUGCAUGUCAGUGUGCAAGAAAAGAAGGGAUUGAUUUAUUGUUUUUUUAGAGAAGAGAUGAUCAGCUGUAUGCCCCAAGUCAAUAUUUCACCUGUUUCAUGUGAAAAAAUAUUGAAAAUUAUAGUAAAAGUAUGAUAUUUAAAAAGCGUAUGCUCCUUGGGGUGCCUGGGUGGCUCAGUCGGUUAAGCGACUGACUUUUGGUUUCGGCUUAGGUCAUCACCCCAUGGUUCCUGAAUUCGAGCCCCACUUUGGGCUCUGUGCUGACAGCACAGAGCCUGCUUGGGAUUCUCUGUCUCUCCGCCCCUCCCUGGCGCUCGCUCUCUUUCUCUCUCUCUCUCCCUCAAAAUAAAUAAAUAAACUUUAAAAAAAAGUAUAUGCUCUUUGACCUAGUGAUUCCUAAAGAAAUAAUGGGAGUGUGCAGAGACAUAACUAUAGGUGUAUUUGUUCCAGCAUGACUUUGAAUUGAAAAUAAUAAAGAAAAAUAGCUGGAAUGUCCAUUAAUACAUGAUCAUGGUGAUUUCACACAAUGAAAAUUAAAUGUACUUUUUCAAACGAUAUGGUAAGUCCAUGACUAUUGACAUGGAGAGGUAUCCAUGAAAUGUUAAGUAAAGAAAGGGAGUUUUAAAAAACUGUUGUAUGGACAUUUUUCAAGUGUAUAAAAGAAUUUUUUAAUUUACAUUAAAAAUAUGGAUGGUUGUUUACCAAGCUGUUAGCAGAGUUUUUUUUCUGAGAAGCAGGAUCACAUCGGUACUCAACCGGGGACAAUUCUUUUUGUCUGGAAGUGUCUGGUGGCCUAUUGUCACAACUGAGGGUGAUGCUCCCGGCACCUAAUGGGUAGAGACGAAGGAUUUUGCUAAGCAUUCAACACAAAGGACAGCCCUCAUUGUGCCAAUAAUGCCAAGGCUCAGAAACCCAGGAUCAGAGAGAUUUACACUUUCUAUUUUCAUGCUCUUUGGGGUUGUAAUUUUGGGCAACAGUCUUGCUUUCCUUGUAUUUUACACAAAAUUAAUAUCGUUUCUGUUUGAGGAAAAAAUUCUUGAUAUAAUAUAGUUAAUUUCUUUGUAAAUUUCAAAUAUGACACAUCAACUGAUAACUUACAUAACCUUUCUUGAGGUAACUCUUAGGUCACCGUGAAGUGUGGAUAUUGGCAGCAAUAAUAAAAACAUGUAUCCUAAAACUCUGUCUUUUAGGGAGGUAAAGUGGUUAUGAAGGAAUUAAAGGUGAAAUUGAACUACAGGCAAACAUCAUAAUUAUUUUUUAAAUGAUUAUUUCAUGCAGCACAUUUGUAAUCUCCUUCCCCAUCUGUGGACUAUCUUCCUUGCUUAUAGUUGCUAUGUGUUCAGAAGAUGCAUAUUGAUUUAAAUAACAGAUAAAAAUCCAUAUAGAAGAGUGUUUAUUGCAGCACUACUAAUAAUAAAAAAAUUAGAAUCAACCUAGCUAUAUGUCAAAAGGGGAAUAUUUAAGCAGAUGUUGGUAUAUUUAUGUAAUGGAUUACGAGGCAGUCAUUAAGAAAAAGAUGGACCUCUGUGUCCUGACAUAGGACCACAUGAGGUCCACAAUGUACUGUGAAAGGAAAAGAGCAAGUUGCAAACAAACGUGUCCAGCAUGAUCCCUCAUUGUAAAUAUAUACACAUAUAAGGUAUAUAUCUGUGUGUGUGUGUGUGUGUGUGUGUGUGAGAGAGAGAGAGAGAGAGAGGGAGAGAGAGAGAAAGAGAGAGAGGGAAAGAGAGAGACUAUGUCUUCUACAAACACAGGGAAAAAUUUAGGAAGAAUUCACACCAAACUUGUAAAAGGGGUUACUAAGACCCUAGAGUCACAGGGGAAGCUAUGGUUUUGAGUAUGGGUGAUUUUACUUUAUUGCACUUUCAUACGUGCAGAAUUCCUAAACCAGAGGUACAUACAAAAGCAAUGGGAAUUGUUUUUUUGGACAGUAUUUGCCAGUAAAAAUAAUUGGGAGUGGAAUAUGUAAAUUAUCUAUGUAAAUGCUUUUUCACUGAAAUUUAAACAUUUAGAAGUUAUUAAAGCAUCUUAGGAGGAUGGAUAUAGGGGUUUAAAAAAUGUGCUGAAUGGCAUAAUUCUUUCCGUUUUCUAUCUGGGCACCACUAGUGGGUAGAGGUGACAUUUGCCAGAGGAGACACUGGGUAUGCUUAGCAUGAUGAAGCAAUAACAAUAGCCAGUGUCUACCCAGUGCUCACUAUGGGCUGGGUGAGCACUGUUACAACAACUCCAUUAAGGGAGUUCUGUUUUAUUCCCGUUGUAUAGCUGAGCAAACUGAGAGACAGUGAGGUUAAGUUACUGGCCAAACAAGUAAGGAAGAGAUCCAGGAUUUAAAUCUAAGCAGCCUGGUAUAAGCUUAUGAAUCAUAAUGGUUGCACAGCCCCGAUUAUCUAAAGCAAAACUAAAGUGACAGGUCACAAAACAUGAUAACUAAACCUGGUACUGUGAUGUCACAAAAACCAGACUGGGGCAUUAUUGCAAACUGUCCUGCUUCAAGCAGCACCAGAUGACCAGCAUAAAAGCUCCUUUGAUAAACUCGGGAGGUGAAAGUACAACAUGUGAACCCUACAGACACUGUCACCUACUCCCUCCUGCUGUAGGUUUGUUUUAGGAAAAUCUUCAUUCUUCUAUUUGACCUGAUGGAGGCAGAGUCUUCAGCAGCACAGAGGCAGGAUACAUUCUGUGACCUAUCUUUUCCGUGACCUACACGGCUUUAGGAGAAGAGCUUCCAGAGUUUUAUUGGCAAUGCCACUAUUAGAAGGACUUCCCUCUCUCUUCCGAGCUCUUUGGGGGUCAGCCUUAAAGCGAGCAUUAAGCGAAUGGCUAAUGGAAUUAAGGAUAUAAUAAUAGAAGGAUAUAGUGAGACAAUUGUAUUAACAAGAAAUAAAUCAUGUUGAAUGUAAGAAAUUUUAUUGGUUACUGUAGCCCAUUGUGAAAAUAAAUAAAGGAAGAUUCACUUAAAAUUGAGUCAGGAAGCCCUGAAGGGGAGGUCUCACAUAGAUACCAUUCAUUGAAGCCUGAAGAACCAACAGGAAGAAGGAAGGUGAUUAUGUCAACAAAGGAGGACACUUUUCACAUAUGAAUUUAUCUCCUGCCUUUAAGAAAGGGAAGAAAGAUCUCAACUUGUCCCAGCAACAAGGCACUAACCACUGCUUGCAGCCAAUGAAAAAUUGUCAUAACCUCAAACUCUUGUUCUUUUCCAAUAAAUUUUGUUCAGAACAACCAUCCCA